CCCAGAGAGAACCAUCAGAGAUCAGUUGCCUGAGGGCAACAGUGUGAUUCAGUCAGAGAACCUUCUCUCCCUGAUGCAGCCUGAAGGAAUGACAAAUUAAAACAUUCGCUCAGGCAUCCAGUAACAAGGCCACGCACUACCUUCACGGAGUGCCAGGCACUUGUAGGGCACGACGGUGCCAUGGAACUACCUUCACUUCCGUUUCCUCCAACCGAAUGGAUCAGCCUCAGCUUCACGACGUGGGCAAUGGACAUGAUCCUGGCCUUCGCCUGUGGACUGGGCCUCUUCCACCUGUGGAUACAUUUCUUCCCACUCACCUCACCCUAACCUGCAGAGGGCGCCUCCACCACCACCAAAAGGGUGGUGAAGAGGGACCACAACAAGGCCAGGAAGAAAAUCAGGACCUUGAAAGAACUCAAGAAGAACUGAGAAGGAAAGGCAUAGCAGUGGGAGUGAGAGCAUUAUGACUGGAACAUCAGAGCAGGCAGAAGGAGCAAGAUGAGGAGAAGAAAAGAGCAGAGAGACCUUUUCAGAGACCAAGAGAAAUCUUUCUUAGAGAACAUUUUGGAGAGUCUUUAGAAUUUUUUGAAAGGAGAAUUUUUGUAGAAACAUGGUGGAGAACUAAGGAACUUAGAAAUAAAGGCUAAAAUAACUUUUGAACAUGUCCAUUGUUCUUCCUGUGACUUCAACUAGCAUGCUGGCAGCUAGAGCUGAGCAGUUUCUGUAAAGACAGAACAAAGGCUGCAUUACUCAAUCACCCUGCUUUGCUCUGAGGUGCUAAACGCCAGAGACUACAGUUUCUGGCCUCAGAAGAACUCAAAAGGCAGGUCAGCUACCGCAGCAGAGUGCCUUAGACUUAGAAAGGUAAACAUUUUCCUAUCCAACCGCAACCCUAAAUAUCUCGCCCCUGCUGAGGCUCUUCUUCCUUGGCUUACAAGAGAGAAAAAGAGAGAAAGAACAGCCACGAAGGCCCCAUGCAGUGGUUGCUUGAAAGCCUUGAGUUCAAAGCAGAAGAAUCGAAUGACCUUUGGAGACGAUGCACUGUGACCUCACAUCUCGCCAUGCUAGGCCCCCAGCCUUUGUCUUUCCAGGAGACCAGCAGAACAGGCCUUCUCACAGGACUUGUUCACACAGCAGAAGGGACUUGGCCAAAGCACAGGUGCUCUCUGCAUCUUCCGGUGAAUCUCCCACCUGGCUCUAUGUGUUGCUUGUAAGGUUUACAGAAUAAAGCAUAGAAGACCAGGAGGCCAACCUUGACAGGAUUUACCUUCAGAGAUGCUGAGGUACUGAGACCUGCGGUUCCAGCUCCCUGACUGAUCCUGCCCCAAACUGAUGCUGUUUCCAGAGAAUUGUGUCUACAACGGUUUCAGGAAGGAAUGCUAAUCCCAGAUAUCCUUGGUCCAUCCUUUAGACUGGUCCAGUCAGGACUUUAAUUAAACCCUAAACUUUCUCAACACACAGAGAUUGGACAACAAAUCCAGCUACAGUUAGCUUUCGUAAGAUUAACCAAUUUUUAAUGUUCUUGGACCCUAAAAAGGAAUUUUUUUGCAAUUAUCAGAAGACCAUCAUCUCAGGCCCUUAAGCUGGGGGUAAAUGGUUCUGGUCAUUUUAUGAGUUAUAGAUAUGCUGUCAUUUUAGAGGAUGAUUGAAAGUGGAGAAAAUGAAACAGGGAGCCUGGCCUCAGGCAAUUCUCUCUUCCCUUUCCUCUCCUACAUACUUCCUUCUUUCCUAAAGGGAAGGGGGUGGAGAAGAAAAAAUAAGGACACAGAAAUAUUGUAAGAAAUUAGAUAAUUGGGGUAGAUUAUUAAACCUACACUUAAACCGAAAAAUAUUUUAUACCCAUAAUCGUACAUUGGUAGAGACCUUUAAACUUUGAUGAAAUAUUAUAUUUUGUUACAUUGGUAUUUUGUGUAUUAAUACAGGUGUAAACUUUACAUUAAAUCUUUUUUUUCAUGUUUAUUAACUUGGGUAUUUCUUAUUUACAUUUCGAUUGUUAUUCCCUUUCCCGGUUUCUGGGCCAACAUCCCCCUAACUCCUUCAACUCCCCUUUUGUAUGGGUGUUCCCCUCCCUAUCCUCCCCC
rnacentral:lncRNA from 1 species